GACGAACGCUGGCGGCGUGCUUAACACAUGCAAGUCGAACGGAAAGGCCCUGCUUUUGUGGGGUGCUCGAGUGGCGAACGGGUGAGUAACACGUGAGUAACCUGCCCUUGACUUUGGGAUAACUUCAGGAAACUGGGGCUAAUACCGGAUAGGAGCUCCUGCUGCAUGGUGGGGGUUGGAAAGUUUCGGCGGUUGGGGAUGGACUCGCGGCUUAUCGGCUUGUUGGUGGGGUAGUGGCUUACCAAGGCUUUGACGGGUAGCCGGCCUGAGAGGGUGACCGGCCACAUUGGGACUGAGAUACGGCCCAGUCGCCUACGGGAGGCAGCAGUGGGGAAUAUUGCACAAUGGGCGGAAGCCUGAUGCAGCAACGCCGCGUGCGGGAUGACGGCCUUCGGGUUGUAAACCGCUUUCGCCUGUGACGAAGCGUGAGUGACGGUAAUGGGUAAAGAAGCACCGGCUAACUACGUG
rnacentral:rRNA from 1 species